rnacentral:rRNA from 1 species
GGCUGCGCAGCUACCAUGCAGUCGAGCGGUAACAUUUCUAGCUUGCUAAAAUAUGACGAGCGGCGGACGGGUGAGUAAUGCUUGUGAACUGCCUUGAGGUGGGGGACAACACUUGUAAACGACUGCUAAUACCGCAUAAUGUCUACGGACCAAAGGGGGCUUCGGCUCUCGCCUUUUUAUUGGCCCAAGUGGGAUUAUCUAUUUGGUGAGGUAAUGGCUCACCAAGGCGACAAUCCCUAUCUGGUUUGAGAGGAUGAUCACCCACACUGGGACUGAGACACGGCCCACACUCCUACAGGAGGCACCACUGGGGAAUAUUGCACAAUGGGCGCAAGCCUGAUGCACCCAUGCCGCGUGUGUGAAAAAAGCCUUCUGGUUGUAAAGCACUUUCUCUCACGAGGAAAGGUUAUUAGUUAAUACCUGCUAUCUGUGACGUUACUGACACAAAAAACACCGGCUAACUCCCUGCCACCACCCGCGGUAAUACAGAGGGUGCGAGCGUUAAUCGCAAUUACUGGGCGUAAAGCGUACACACGCGGUUUGUUAAACGAGAUGUGAAAGCCCCGGGCUCAACCUGGGAACUGCAUUUCUAACUGGGAAACUAUAGUGUGAUAUAGGGUGGUAGAAUUUCACGUGUAUCGCUGAAAUGCGUAUAGAUCUGAAAGAAUACCGAUGGCGAAAGCAGCCACCUGUGUCAACACUGACGCUCAUGUACGAAAGCGUGUGGAGCAAACAGGAUUAUAUACCCUGGUAGUCCACGCCGUAUACGAUGUCUACUAUAAGCUCUGAAACUCUGUUCUGUUUUUCAAAGCUAACACAUUAUAUAGACCGCCUGGGGAGUACAGCCGCAAAGUUAAAACUCACAUGAAUUGUCGGGGGGCCCGCACAAGCGGUGGAGCAUGUGUUUUAAUUCUAUGCGACGCGAGAAACCUCACCUACACUUGUCAUACACAGAACUUACUAGAGAUAGUUUGGUGUCCUUCUGGAACUCUGAUACACGUGCUGCAUGGCUGUCGUCAGCUCGUGUUGUGAGAUGAUGUGUAAAUCCCGCACGAGCGCAACCCCUAUACCUUAGAUUGCUAGUCACGUGAUAGCUGUAGAACUCUUAAGAGACUGCUCGGUGAUAUAACACGCGAGAAAGUGGGACGAACGAUCAGGUCACUCAUGGCCCUUACAUUGUAAGGCUACUACACACACGGCUCAAUGGCAAUCAGAGAGUCGUGCGAACUCCGGAGGAGUAACGCAACUCCUUCUAUAUAAAGUGG